GAUCCUGGCUCAGGAUGAACGCUGGCGGCGUGCUUAACACAUGCAAGUCGAACGGAGUGCUCAUGACAGAGGAUUCGUCCAAUGGAUUGAGUUACUUAGUGGCGGACGGGUGAGUAACGCGUGAGUAACCUGCCUUGGAGUGGGGAAUAACACAGUGAAAAUUGUGCUAAUACCGCAUAAUGCAGUUGUGCCGCAUGGUACUGACUGCCAAAGAUUUAUCGCU
rnacentral:rRNA from 1 species